UCCAACUCAAGCGAGAUCAAAAUUUUGUAUUUUUUUUUUUUUUUUUUUUAAUAUAAUAACGAGGUUUUAAUACGACCUUGUGUGGGUUUGGCGUGAUAAGGCACUGUAUACAAUAUCCGUGACCAUCUCUGUCCGGGGCAAAGAGGCUGAAACCAAUACGCGAGUCUGCAGAGGUCUGUUCUGCUUCUCUGAAAUAAAAGCGGCAAUGGAUCUCCGUGUCCCAUUUUAAAGGCGAGCUCGUCCCUACCAUCGAACAGGCAGUGAAAGGAGCUGUGGACCUCGCUGUGUGUGAACUGACCAAGCUUAUCGACAGCAAACUUGUUGCUUUCCAAAUUGAAAUGGAAAAAGAAAACGCCAGUCUAAAGAUGCGAUUAGAAAUGUCAGAUAACGAAGUGAAUGCAAUGCGUGGGUAUCUGAAUACUGCGGGCAUUUCUCUCUUAAACUCCACCUGUAAUAAACAGCCCUCUCUGAGGAACAGCAGUGAGAGGUGUGCUCUACCUGGGAGGGGGAGCGGCAGCAUUACAGACGCGUGUGUGCCAUUGUUCAGCGACAAAGUGAACGACGCUGCAGACAGAACAGUAUCGGGUUUGCUCGAUGCCUGUCCAGCGCAAAGCGGGAUUGUAGAAGUAACCCAGUCCCGGCAAUAGAAAUGCAGGACCCAGUGCAUGUAGUAAACCGAGAACAGCACGACAUUGCACAGUCAGAACAAGAGGUACUGAUCAGAGUGCAUGACUAUGAACCAGCAAGUGACACCUGGAUACCCGAGUGGGGCAGGACUGUUAAAGGUACUGAAGAUGAAACAUGUCUACCUGAUACAGAGAACAAGGCAAAGACAUAAUCUGUCCAGAUCAUUGAAGUGACAGUGGGAGAGAAGCACACCGAGCUGGUCUCCCGGGCUGCAUUAAACAGGAGGUCCUGGAGCAGCAGUCUGGCUCUGAAGAGACAUGCUCUGUUAUUGAAGAGGGGACUGAUCUGGGAUCCAUCCAGGGCAGGCCUCACUCCACUCUGCUGCAUACAAGCACAGGACACUGCAGAUCCGCAGCGGCUCUCGCAGACUCACCCGUGGAACGGAGCCUCAGCAACGAGGGAGGACGGAGAAUGCCGUCCACUGGCAGGACAACAUUGGAUACAGAAGAACAACAUGGCUCCUGCCUAUCGUCUCGCCACAACCUCUCAUACAAACAGCAUCAAGGUAUGCCUGUGGGGAAAACACACCAAGAGUAUUGGCGACGCAUGAGAAGUGAGACAGUUAGGUUUCAGAAUUCUACUUUACCACAACGUGAUCAGCCUUUUGUAAAAGGAACGCCUCAGCAAAUGUGCAGUUUGGAAACCCCUGAGACCACAAGUGGAAAGAAUUCAAGUCAACUAGAAAACCCAAGUAGACACCUGGGAACUCCAACAGGAAAGAGAUGGUUUUGUAAUGUUUGUAGGAAAAGUUUCCGUCAGUUAGUGGCCUAUAGACAACACCAGCGUGUUCACAUGAGAGAGACCCCUCAUCGAUGCAAUGAAUGUGGGAUAAGCUUUGCUCGGAUAGAAAAUCUUAAAGUGCAUCUGCAAAUCCACACAGGAGGGAAACUCUAUCAUUGCAUUGAAUGUGGCCAAAGUUUCAGUUUUUUCGAGUCCUAUACAGCACCAACGAGUCCACGCAGGACAGAUUAAUCGCUGUUCUGUUUGUGGAAAAAGUUUCAGCCGCUUGGCAAACCUGAAAAGACACCAGCUGAUUCACACAGGAGAGAAGCCAUUCCGCUGUACACAAUGUGGACAAAUGUUCCGUCACUCUGGAGCCUUUAAACGACACCAGCGACUUCACACCUGACUGUGAGACAGCCACUGCCAGACAUAUGAGGUGUGACUUUGUUAACAUGUUUAACUGAGGCGUCUCGAACACCGCACACAGGUUUGCAUCUGACACUGACAGAGCGCAUCGUGGGCGCAGUGGUAUUCAUUUAGUAUUUUAAUAUCGUGUUCACACAUUUCCAAGCAGACAGGGACCUUAUGUACACACUCUAAAUACAUUAAACAUUGUUUUCAUUUAUAAAGAACAGCAACUGUGUCAUAUUUACAACAUGACCUUCACAGAAAUGAUUAAUAGAAUUUGUGUGCAGGAGCUGGGGUUAGAAAGUAUACGUAGAAAACAGUGCUGGUAUUCCAUGGAUGAUUCUGCUUAUACUUUCAUCUAUCUUGUCAGUGUUGUACAUAUUGAAGUACUUCUUCACAGUGGCGUGCUUCACUGCAGACCCAGUGAGUGGAACGUGCGCCAUGUGAAAUGGGCACAUCCUCACCAUGCGGGUGUGAGCUCUGUGCAACACAAAAUAAAACAAAUACAUAUAUCUGUAUCCACUUACAGCCUAGUGUUAGUGUUCAAUUAAUAGCAAAAUAUAGAAAUGAUCCAGACAAAAAGAGAAUAACAAAGACAGCAUUGUUUUGAUCCUGAGUGCACAUUUUGAAACAACCUUGCCCUUGCACUGGUAUACGUUUCAAGUGGUGUCUAGUGCACAUUUUAAUGACACACACACUGACCAGUCAAGCUUCUGUGAUUCUCUCUCUUCUUCAUGAAUAUAUUUAAUAAUAGUUGUUCACCAGUGUUCUGAGAGGGUGUAACAAUGUCACUGUGUGCAGAGCAUCGUGACGUUUGUGUUCAAAGAGUGCUUAGAAUUUUUCAGAGAGAAAUAACAUGAAUUCAGUUUUCCAGGAGCUUUAAUUUAGAAAAGGCAGGUAUUGUGAAAGGGCUGGAUUCAGUUGAGACAUUCGUUUGUGUUUUUUUAUUUUAUAUAUAUAUAUAUAUAUGUUUUGUUGUGACCGAGCUCUCACCUUGACAAUAUUUUUUAAAACACGUCUGUUGAUCGACAUUUUCCAUUUACCACAAGUGUGCUGAUGUUUUGAUAAUUAGAACAGAUGUGUUCACAUGAAUUAGCUUCCCCAGAAGCUAGUGUAUUUUGUAUUUAUUAAAAGAUAUCGCCAAUAAAAAAAGUUUUGUACUUUUAGUAGCGAUGUGGAACAAGAACAAUAUCUAUUUUCAUUAGUGCUGGGACAAAUAUCCGAUAUGCAUCUGAUAGUCAAACAAAUAUUUGACAUGUAUUCAGAUACAGAAAACAGACGUUCGUAUUCGCUAGAAGUGACAAAAAUAACUUGCGCUUAUUUAAAAAGUUGUGCAACAGUUUAAAAAAUGGCAAAUAAAGAAGAGCUGCAUGUGAGAUUAAAUAUGAUUUACGGUUUAAAAAAAAAUAGACGCGCACACACACACACGGGCCACACCCUCCUGCCCCUGCUGCUAUGCUAUCUGCCUUCAUUCUGAGCAAUAUAAUGGAUUUUAUUACUUUUUGAAAACGAAUAAAUAUUUAAGUUAUGAGCGAAUGUUCGAACAUGAAAAUCCUGGGUUUGUCACAGCACUAAUGUUAAUACAAAACACAGUAUACCCUACCAUCUGUUCAAUCUACCAAUCUGCACUUGAUCACGAUCUAAAGCAAUGUUCAAGAAUAAGAUAAUUAAUCCAGCUCACUGUCAACAUAGCACACCACUGUACUUCUGCUGCUUUCCAUUGUCAUUAAAAAAAAAAAAAUGUAGGCUUGUAUUUUCCCAUAAAUAAAAAGAAGCGUACGCUUGGAUGUAUUGGGUAAGAUUUUCUUGCAAAAAUAUCCAACAUUGCAAAUUGUUAUUUGUUCAUUGGAAAUGUGUGUUUUUUAAAUGUAUGUAAUAUGCUUAAAAAUAUACCGUAGAUACAUUUGAAACAGUUUUUUUUAGUUCUUUUGUAUUUUUUUAUUGACCAAGAAAGCAACGUUGCAUUCUAACCCAGGGAUCUAACUUUAAACAUCAAGUUGUGAGGAAGGUAUCUAGAAGACUCUUGGUGUCAUUUCAUCUUUGUAAUGUGAUCUUUUUUACAGUAAAACAAGGGGUUCUACUCAAUGAAGCUGAACGGUGGCAGAGUAAAAUACAGCUAAUGCUUAAAUCCUCAAAAGAAGCUGAAUGAAUUUCAAUAAAUGAAAACUAGAGGAACAUGUACAGCGUUGGCGGUCAGGGACUGUAAAAUGAGUGAUUUCUUUGUAAUCAUGAUAUGGUAUGUUAACCAUCUGUCUUUAUUAAAAUACUUUGAAAGA